rnacentral:misc_RNA from 1 species
CUCCCCCGCCUGGCCACGGCUGAAUCUGUCCUCCUGGGGGUGACACAUAGCACUGUUUAACCCCAAUAUACGUGCCUUCUGUGUCUUCUGGUGACCUGUGAAUCUCCCACAAGUCCCACGCAGACCGGUAUAUACCAGGUUACUCGAGUUAGCCAAUCAGGAGGCGACAAUCCCAUAACAAAGCCAGCAAGAUCUCCCAUUGGUCGCCGCCAGCCGUGCCCUGCUGGGAUUGGCUGCCAGAGGGUAUAUAAAGGGGGGAGCCCAGGCGGGAGGUCCUCAGUGCCACGGGAGGUCUUGAAGAGGAAGGAGUGUCAGUCAUCAGCAGCUCCAGGGAACUUCAGGUGACAGCGGCGCCAUGACAGACAGCCGGGCGUGGGCGUGGGUCGUGGGCUUGGUGGUGGUGGUGGUAGCGGCGGGGGCGGCCUUUCCCCCCGGCCCCCUGGACCAGGUGGGGACGCUGGGGGAGGGGAGAACCGCCCCCCUCCUCUUUCCCUAUCCCCAGUUCCCCCUCCCUAGGAAAAGAUAUUUGGGCAUCGAGCUUCCGGACUUCAUAGCGGCGGGAAAGGGCUUGGGAGACCUGAAGGAACGCAUGAUGACGUCAGGCAAGUAGCGAAAGAGACGUCACGCACCGCCAGCCUGUGAUGUCACUCCCACCAGCCUGCACCAGUGACGUCACAUCCUCAGCUGACGUCACUGCCUUCCAUAGCGUCCUUUUCAGAUUGGUUUUUACGGAUUUUGUGUUUAUUUGUAUGUGUUGUGGUUUAUGAGGGUUUUUUUUCUAUUUUUUCGUGUGUUUUUUAGUAUUCGUUGUGUUUCUCUGUAUUCGUUCAGUCGUGUUAUAAUGUACUGUAGUGUAUUUUGAUCCUUAUUGCUACUAUUUAUUUUUCGAGUUAAUUUUAUACCAUAUGGCCAAAAUACAAACUAUUCAGUACA